rnacentral:rRNA from 1 species
AUUGAACGCUGGCGGCAGGCUUAACACAUGCAAGUCGAACGGUAGCAGGAGAAAGCUUGCUUUCUUGCUGACGAGUGGCGGACGGGUGAGUAAUGCUUGGGAAUCUGGCUUAUGGAGGGGGAUAACGACGGGAAACUGUCGCUAAUACCGCGUAUUAUCGGAAGAUGAAAGUGCGGGACUGAGAGGCCGCAUGCCAUAGGAUGAGCCCAAGUGGGAUUAGGUAGUUGGUGGGGUAAAGGCCUACCAAGCCUGCGAUCUCUAGCUGGUCUGAGAGGAUGACCAGCCACACUGGAACUGAGACACGGUCCAGACUCCUACGGGAGGCAGCAGUGGGGAAUAUUGCGCAAUGGGGGGAACCCUGACGCAGCCAUGCCGCGUGAAUGAAGAAGGCCUUAGGGUUGUAAAGUUCUUUCGGUAUUGAGGAAGGUUGAUGUGUUAAUAGCACAUCAAAUUGACGUUAAAUACAGAAGAAGCACCGGCUAACUCCGUGCCAGCAGCCGCGGUAAUACGGAGGGUGCGAGCGUUAAU